AUACGGAGGGUGCAAGCGUUAAUCGGAAUUACUGGGCGUAAAGCGCGCGUAGGCGGUUAUUUAAGUCAGAUGUGAAAUCCCUGGGCUCAACCUAGGAACUGCAUCUGAUACUGGGUAACUAGAGUUUUGGAGAGGUAAGUGGAAUUUCCGGUGUAGCGGUGAAAUGCAUAGAGAUCGGAAGGAACACCAGUGGCGAAGGCGACUUACUGGCCAAAAACUGACGCUGAGGUGCGAAAGCGUGGGUAGCAAACAGUAUUAGAUACCCUAGUAGUCC
rnacentral:rRNA from 1 species